UUUGAACGCUGGCGGCAUGCUUUACACAUGCAAGUCGAACGGUAACAGCACUUCGGUGGCUGACGAGUGGCGAACGGGUGAGUAAUACAUCGGAACGUGCCUAGUAGUGGGGGAUAACUACUCGAAAGAGUAGCUAAUACCGCAUGAGAUCUAAGGAUGAAAGCAGGGGACCUUCGGGCCUUGCGCUACUAGAGCGGCUGAUGGCAGAUUAGGUAGUUGGUGGGAUAAAAGCUUACCAAGCCGACGAUCUGUAGCUGGUCUGAGAGGACGACCAGCCACACUGGGACUGAGACACGGCCCAGACUCCUACGGGAGGCAGCAGUGGGGAAUUUUGGACAAUGGGCGCAAGCCUGAUCCAGCAAUGCCGCGUGCAGGAUGAAGGCCUUCGGGUUGUAAACUGCUUUUGUACGGAACGAAAAGCCCUCUUCUAAUACAGGAGGGUCAUGACGGUACCGUAAGAAUAAGCACCGGCUAACUACGUG
rnacentral:rRNA from 1 species